rnacentral:rRNA from 1 species
AUCAACGCUGGCGGCGUGCCUCAGACAUGCAAGUCGAACGCGAAAGUUUCCUUCGGGGAAUGAGUAGAGUGGCGAACGGGUGAGUAACACGUGAACAACCUGCCCCUAUGUUCCGGAUAAUUGGCCGAAAGGCCUUGUAAUACGGGGGAGGAUCGGUCUUUGGCAUCUUAGACCGAGGGAAGUCGCAAGACGCACAGGGAGGGGUUCGCGGAUUAUCAGGUAGUUGGUGGGGUAAUGGCCUACCAAGCCUACGACGAUUAGCUGGUCUGAGAGGAUUGUCAGCCACAUUGGAACUGAGACACUGUCCAGACUCCUACGGGAGGCUGCAGUCGAGAAUCUUGGUCAAUGCACGAAAGUGUGAACCAGCGACGCCGCGUGAAGGAUGAAGGCCCUCUGGGUCGUAAACUUCUUUUGUGAGAGAAGAAUAAAUGACGGUAUCUCACGAAUAAGCCACGGCUAACUACGUGGCCAGCAGCCGCGGUAAUACGUAGGUGGCAAGCGUUGUCCGGAUUUACUGGGCGUAAAGCGAACGCAGGCGGAUCUUUAAGUAGGAAGUGAAAGGUUGGAGCUCAACCCUAACACUGCUCCCUAUACUGGAGAUCUUGAGUGCCGGAGAGGAAAACGGAACAAGUUGUGUAGCGGUGAAAUGCGUUGAUAUAACUUGGAACACCAAUGGCGAAAGCAGUUUUCUGGACGGAUACUGACGGCUGAGGUUCGAAAGCCAAGGUAGCAAACAGGAUUAGAUACCCUGGUAGUCUUGGCCUUAAACGAUGCUCACUAGGUGUUGGGGGGUAACCCUCGGUGCCGCAGCUAACGCAUUAAGUGAGCCGCCUGGGGACUACGGCCGCAAGGUUGAAACUCAAAGGAAUUGGCGGGGGACCGCACAAGCGGUGGAGCAUAUGGCUUAAUUCGAUGCAACGCGAAGAACCUUACCAGGGCUUGACAUGCACCUGCAAGCUGCCGAAAAGCAGUCGCUUUCGAAGGUGGUGCACAGGUGGUGCAUGGCUGUCGUCAGCUCGUGUUGUGAAAUGUUGGGUUAAGUCCCGCAACGAGCGCAACCCUCAAUGUUUUGUUACCAGCGGAUAAUGCCGGGGACUCGAGACAAACUGCCUCUGUAAAGAGGAGGAAGGCGGGGAUGACGUCAAGUCAGCAUGCCCCUUACGCCCUGGGCCUGCACAUAUGCUACAAUGGCCGGUACAAAGGGUCGCCAACUCGCGAGAGUGCGCUAAUCCCAAAAAACCGGUCUCAGUUCGGAUCGAAGUCUGCAACUCGACUUCGUGAAGUCGGAAUCGCUAGUAACCGCCGGUCAGCAAUACGGCGGUGAAUACGUUCCCGGUCCUUGCACACACCGCCCGUCACGCCACGAAAGUCUGUCUCACCCGAAGUCGCUGCGCUAACCGCAAGGAAGCAGGCACCGAAGGUGGGGCCGAUGAUUGGGACG